UACGUAGGGACCAAGCGUUGUUCGGAUUUACUGGGCGUAAAGGGCGCGUAGGCGGCGUGGUAAGUCACUUGUGAAAUCUCUGAGCUUAACUCAGAACGGCCAAGUGAUACUGCUGUGCUAGAGUGCAGAAGGGGCAAUCGGAAUUCCCGGUGUAGCGGUGAAAUGCGCAGAUAUCGGGAGGAACACCGGUGGCGAAGGCGGUUCUCUGGGCCUUACCUGACGCUGAGGAGCGAAAGCGUGGGGAGCGAACAGG
rnacentral:rRNA from 1 species